UUGAAAUCUUUAUAUUGUCCAACUAUUUCUCUCCCCAUAAUUGCGAAUAAACCAAAUACCUAAAUAGGCACCACAAAAUAAGCAUUACUCAGAAACAAGGAACAGAACAUAUAAAAAAUAACUGAAGAGAAGAAAAGGAUAAAAAGGGAACCAAAUAAUGAGUGCCAGCAGUGACCGCUUAAGAAAAAAUCUGCAAACACAAACGAAGGCCUUGCAAGUUUCAAUAUUGUAAACUUCUGCUAGAACAAGAGAAAAAUAAAAACUAACAUUCAAACCAUCUAAACAAUGAGAUCAAAUAACAGUCUGACUCGAGUUGGCAUUCCCGCAGCACAUAACAAGGGUCUGUCUAUCUCAAAAAGUAAUUUUCAAAUGACACAUAAACAAAGAGAUCACACUGCUCCAAAUAACAUAAAACCUUAAGUAAUGGAUUUUUUCAGUAAAAAAGAGUAAUAUCACCAGAGAAUGUGGUGGUAACCAAGUGACCGGGCAGCCCAAUAAUAUUUGUUUCCUCCUUGAAUGAAAUUUAGAACGAUGUUGUAACCAAAAUUUAGAAUGUUCGUGGUCCAACUGUGAUUGCAGAAUUCACUCCCUUGUAGGUAAUACAUUGAUUUCCGGAAAACAAUUACAAGAAGGUUGAAAUUUUGAAGAAAGAUACUAAACAAUGAGGACCAAAAAAAUGAUGAAGAUGAGUGAAAGACUAAGAAAAACUGGCGUAUAAAAAAUCAUUGAAAGAACCACCAAAUACUUAAACUUCAUAGUGUAGUUUAAAAUCCUCGAAAAUAAGGUCACUAUGGAACUCAAAAUCCAACAACGGGCAAUAAUCACUUGGCGGCAACCAACAUAAAGGAUAAGGAACUGCAAACCAAAAUGGGAACAAUAUCAACCACAAUCUUGUAGACUUCAAUUGCAUACGCUACGUAUUGGCAGCCGCAUAGGGAAGCGGGGCACCCGGCAGCCAAACUCAAGUAGCUGCUGAGAAAGUCGAAUAUCCAAUCUGCUAGAAGUCCACACAAACAGAAAGCUAAAACAAAUGAUUAUGUUUAACCAUGAAGGACAAGUCCAAUCAAUGAAGAACCAGAUCCCGUAUGGACUGAAACUAACCAGAGAUCAUCGCUUACUUUACCACUUGACAAAACUAAGAUCGAGAAGCUCGAAAAGAAGGUGACACUUCAACACAGAUCAGCAUCUAGGGAAAAAGUUCCAUAAUCCAAACUUGACCGAACUAAAGCCGAAAUCCCAGCAUUAUCUCAGAAUAUAGAACUAAAGAAGUUGAAGCUCUAUCCCAUCAACAAAAUAGAGCAAGAUAAGAUGUAAUAGGAGAGGGUUUAACAUAACUAUAAUAAUAGCAACACUGUAAGUGUUCUCUGUGAUGCACCUUUUCACCUAGCUUCAGCAUUGCAGAUUCCUUCAAAGGAAACAAUAACAAUAAAUACAGAAUGUAAAACAGCCCUUAAUCGGUUGAUACUGAGAGAAAUCAGAGUUCACUUCUAACCAAGAACAGAAACAAAGGUCAGGCUGUCUCGCAGGUUACAGCAGCUCGCGAAAUUAGAAAGUACCCCUGCAGCACAAGAAUGCGGGGAAAAUUUGACGUGCCAAUCUCGCAUCUUAUACAAUUGAAGGAAGAGAGAAAAAGUAGUAUGAGAGGGGAAUGGAAUGAGCAAUAUUUAUCUUGUUUCCCUCAAAUCCAAUGCAGGUGAUGUGUCAUAACGGGUUGGGAGCUGACAAACCACAUCUACAACACGUGAGGAUACAAUUAGGUUGACAGAAGGAGCAAGAAAACAACAAAAAAGACAAAGCCGAAAACAAAGACAUUUGAGACAUCUGCAGGUGCUACCACAAUAUCAAAUACCUCCUAAAAUGCAAUUCCAACUUCAACAAAUGCUGCAGGAAAGAACCUAAUAUAAACCAUGAUGGACAAGAACACAACUUAGGAUGUCAGGUGAAAAGAGAGAGGGAGAAAAUAUUACUGCUAGUACAUUGUUCAGCUCCCUGGCUUACAGAACGAGCUACCAAAAGAUAAAACCUUAAAUAGGCACACAAAACAAAGGAACUCCAAGACCCUAUACAUGGCUUAUCAUAACUUAUCUCAAAUGCAAAACUCUAACCUUGACGAUUCGAUGAUCAGUACAUAUGUUUAACACCUAAAGAAAUCUACAAAAAUGUUAAGUUUGGUCUUAUAUCUUAUCUACACAAAUCUAAUACCAAUCAUGGGGAAAAAAUUCCAGAAUAUACAAUGUAAGACAGACAGAAGUCACAGAACCAAUAUUGCAUCUCCCUCUCCAUGCCAAUAAAGAUCUGCAAAACUUACGCAGGAGGACGGAAAGAUGAUUAAAAAAAUAAACCUGUCGUAAAAUAAUACUCGUAAUAUAGGAUAGUACAAGGAAGACAUGCAAGAGUAUUGUUAUAACCUGCAUGCAGGGGGCGACUCUCAUGGCACACAUGGUAACUAAAAAACGAGACCCAUGAUAGAUAAUGCUGCAUAGAUAGAUAGCAGUAGGAGAGAUGGCAAAAAAAGGAAGAAGCACAGAAACAUACCCAACGACAGGAUGGCAAUGUGCUUCUCAAUCAUCCAAAAUAUUGGGAUUAAAAAAGGCAAAGGAAUGAAACAAGACCAAAAUCCAUCAUCAAUUCACCACCGUCCUGUCCUCCAUGAGACCUACUGUCCCCAAAAUUUUAGUUUACAAAAGGCAAACCAACUACAACAACCAAAAUAGUACAACGCAAACAAUGAUAAGCCAAUACCAGUCCCUGCAACUACUCGAACAACUGAGCAUAGGGAGAAUCCACUUCAUCCUUAACACCAACAUCAUAACCCUGCAUUUCCUCGACAUGUCUUAAGGAAAGCAAAUAAGUUAGAGCAAUGCCAACACAGUCCAGCAGUGUCCCACCUCUCCUACAAAAGCAUAAACAGCCACCCCAGAAAGACUGCAAGGAAAAGACAGGUCUCAUACCAUAACAUGAAAUAUCAAAACCCAGCUACCAACAAACAUGACUAGAAUAAUCUCCAAUCCUCCAUAAUAAAGACCAAAGUAAACUACAAAAACAAUCACAUGAAUGGCCACCAAGACUAACGAGCGGCGGAGGCAGUAUCCAUCAGCAAAAAAAUAUCAAAUAUCCAGAACGCAUUACACAGUGCGAAGCACCAUUAGAGAAAUCCAACCAGUCAAGGGAAGUCCAUCAACCAAAAUCUCUUGAUGGUUGGGAUAAACAUGAAGAAAAUUGUUAAAUAAACCUUCUACGUCAAAAAUUCUGAGAGGAGGACCCACAUUCAAAAUGCUCCUAGAUCCUUCACUUCACCUCAAUCAAAUCUUAAAUCUCUCCAUCCGAGAGAACUGUAAAAGUAAGAAUUAACUAGAAGUCAUGAUCUCACGUAAUCACAUCUGAUUGGGAACCCAAAAAAGGAAUCUGUUACUCUUGCCAAAAACUAAAAUAAACUCUUACACCCCCAAUGUCAAACCAAGAGUCCAAAAGCACUCAAAACCAUUUUCUGCAACAGUGAAAAACAAUUUGCUCCCAAUUAGUAAACCGAUCAAAUCAAGCACAACUUGUUGGGUAGUAGCAACAGAAAUUCCAUAGAAGGCAAAGAAUACCAAUAGCAAAGGAACCUGAAUUAAUAGACAUCAACCCAACCCAACCCAAACCAAAUCUAUCUCGAAUCCUCGACCAAGAUGAAAUCACCAGACGAUGCGACAUUAAGGAACACAAUUUAAGAAUUUUCCCCAAUCAGCAUGUCCAUCAAACCAAGCACAACUUGUUAGGUGUAGCUAGGGGAAAUCCAAACAAAUCCUGAAUCAGAACUCCAAAGUAACAAACAACACAAGAAAAUAAACCCGAGCCCAUAGUAUGCAAUACCAAAUUGCCAUAGAUCAUCAACAUCAUAGUAUAGGGUUCCAAAUUUGCUACAAAGAGAUCAUGCAGUAUCUUAAAACUGAAGCAGCUUGGAUUUCUCAGCAAAAAAGAACUAUUACACCCCUCCGCUGUUCAGCUCCCCGGUAACUUGCACCAAACAACAUAACAAGCAAAAACCGUGAAACCAAACUAUUAAGAUGAAGUGCCAGCAUUGUAAUCCAAAGAAAGGACAAAAAUCAAAGUCAAACAACUCCAUUGCCUUAUACUUCAACACUGAGCCAUGACGUGCAUUCCAAGUACCUAGUUAGGGUAGCAAAUCUCUGGAAGAAACAAAAUAAGAAACUACCUUCACCGAAAAUCUACAAACUACCAUGUAUUUGCAAUAAUUUUUGCAAAUAGCUCAGAUAACAUGGUUUUUAUUGUCUUAGGGUUCAGCAUCUUAUCAUUUCUCAUUUUGGGGUUAACAGUUUCUUGGGACAAGUUGUGAUAUACAAUGGGUAAGGUCUUGGACUUUAUCUAUGAAAUGGUGUUCAGAAAAAGAACAAAGAAGAAUUUGAGUUCCUGUGGUGAGUAAGUGCAUUUAACUUACGAGAUGAUAAACUACCUUCACUGAAAAUCUGCAAACUACCAUAAAUUUGUUAUAAAUGUUUGGAAUAUAGCUCAGUUAACAAGGUUUUUAUCAUCUUAGGGUUUAGCAUCAUUUCUCAUUUUGAGGUUCACAGUUUCUUGGGACGAGUUGUUAUAGGCAGUUGGUAAGGUCUUGGACUUCCUUCAUGAAAUGGUAUUUAUGAAAAAGAACAUAAAAAGGAACAAAGAAGAACUUGAGUUCCUACGGUGGGUGAGCAAGUGCAUUAUUUAACUUAUGCAGUGAUACCUUUCACUGAAAAUAUUGAGUGCCAAGUGUAUUAGUUUUAUUAAAAGGUGACCUUGUUUUGUAUUUCAAGAGAUAAGUGGGCAACUAUUAUCUGCAAGUUCUUACAGAAGAGUGCCACAAUUAGAGAAACAUACCUGCAUGCAAGGGGCUUCUGCUUCUAAGACUCGCCAUACAAAUGAAAUGGAAAUUUUAAAAAAUGACAUCGCUUGACAGUCAGUGCUGCAUAAACAUAUUAGGUAGAGGCCAGCAAAAGGAGAGGUGAUACAAAAGAAAGAAGCAUAGUGAUAUACCCAAUGACAUGAUGGCAACCCACUCAGCAAUCCUCCCAGAAACUGUAAUAAAAAAAUGACCAAUGAUAUGGAACAAUGCAAAACAAAAAAAUCCAGUGUGAUCGAGCUCUCUCCUGUCCAAAUAUGAGACUCAACUAUCACCAAAAGUACUUCAGCAAAGAAUUUCUAACUGUAAUGAACAUUGAACAACAAUAACAAACCAUCAUUGAGAAUCCAACUUCAUCCGUGUUUUCUUCUCGUCACGUCCUAGAAAAGCAAAUAAUUUAAAACCACAAAAGCAAACUUUUACUAUGCAAUGCCCACAACUCUCCUACAAAAGCAUAUGCAGCUACUUCUUGAAGAUCUUGACCUACCCCAAACAAGACUGCAACAAAGAGAAAGGUAUCCGACAAUGACACCAAUCUAGCUACCGACAAAUGACUAGCAUGAACCACAAUCCUCAAACUAAAUAAAAAUAAUUUCCGCCCCAAAUUGUGCUAUGGAAAUUGUGUGAUCUCUAACUCUAUACAAUGACAAAAUUCAGAAUGCUUGUAUGAAUAAAUAAAGUGCAAGAAUCAUACCACAACUUGAAAUAUCAAUGAAUUUCACAAAAUUUUAGAAAGAAAAUUUCACAAUAAAAUAAAAUAAUGAAAAUUUCACAAUAAAGUUAGUUCAGGCACAAAUUUACGUGCUUGAGCGACCUGCCAAGUUAUGGAUUUUCAAGAGCUGGAAUGGAAAACAAAAGGGGAAUUUCUGAAAUAUGCAAGAGCUAAUAACCUAUCAAGAGUCAUGGGAACACAUUCCCCCUUUCGUGCCAGAUUUUUUAGUUUGCCGUUUAGUGUAAAAAAUAGGAAUCAUAUGAAUGGCCACCAAGGAAAUCCAAUGUCAACGACUAGGACAAUAUUUAUCAACAAGAAGGGAUCACAGACAUAACCCAGAAAUUAUUUGUACCAUACUUAAAGCCUAAACUCCAGGACACAUCAUCAACAGCAAAGAACCAUCCGACUAGUUAAGAUAAGUCCAAUCAAACAUCAAACAUAUGGUUCGAGAUAUCACUAGAAAAUACCACAAACCUUGUCCCGAAAAAAUUCUGACAGGUGGAUCUACAUUCAAAAUCUCAUCCAAAUCCUUCAAUACCCCUUAAUCCGCAUCUAGAUAUCCCAAUAGAGAACUGUAGAAUUCAUGAUAUCUUAAAGUAAUAACCUCAUGGUAGUACAUGGAAAUCAAUUCGAUUAAUCACCUCUGACUAGGAGUCAAAGAAAGGAAAUCUUAUACCCAAGCCAACAACCAGCGUUCUCAAAUCAAAAAUCCAUAAGUACUUUAAUCCGAUUUCUGGAACACUGAAACAAUUAUCCCCCGAUCAGCAUAUCCCUUCAAACCAAGCUCAAGUUGUUAGGUAAUGGCAGGAAAAGCCCAAAGAAAUCCAAGAAUUCAAUUGAUAAAGAAACCUCGACUAGAAUUCGAAUGGGGCAAACAAGAACAUCUAUGAAUGAAACCUGAAAAAAUCUUCACCCGAUACAGAAUCGCCGUACAUUAAAUUAGGGAAUUCCACCAGUUAGGUAUAGCAAGAGAUAUUCCAAAAAAAUCAGAGAACUCCACUAGUAAAGGAACCUGAAUUAAUAUAUUCGAAUUGUGGCCAACAAGAUCAUCUACUCGACCCGAAUCUAUCUUCUACAGAUACGGAAUCGCCAAACAUAACCUUUAGGAAACAGAAUCGAAGAGUUUCCAAGAUCAGCACACCGUUAAAAUCAAGCGCUACGCUUUAAGGUAUUAGCAAGGGAAGUUCCACAGAAAAAUCAACGAUUUCCAAAGGUAUACGUAACCGCUACCAACUUGAAUAAGCAUUCGGAUCGUAAGGAACGAAGUCAACCUGAAACAACCUACACAAUAUGCAAAAUACCAAAUCGCCAAUUUAGAAGCCAAACUCCGAAACCCUAGAAAAGGGUAAGAGGGAGAUACCGACAGGAGAUCACCUAGUCGCUGCCUAGAUGCGUAAAACCAGACAAGGC